GACGAACGCUGGCGGCGUGCUUAACACAUGCAAGUCGAACGGAAAGGCCCUGCUUGCAGGGUACUCGAGUGGCGAACGGGUGAGUAACACGUGGGUGAUCUGCCCUGCACUUCGGGAUAAGCCUGGGAAACUGGGUCUAAUACCGGAUAGGAGCCAUUUUUAGUGUGAUGGUUGGAAAGUUUUUUCGGUGUAGGAUGAGCUCGCGGCCUAUCAGCUUGUUGGUGGGGUAAUGGCCUACCAAGGCGGCGACGGGUAGCCGGCCUGAGAGGGUGGACGGCCACAUUGGGACUGAGAGACGGCCCAGACACCUACGGGAGGCAGCAGUGGGGAAGAUUGCACAAUGGGCGCAAGCCUGAUGCAGCGACGCCGCGUGGGGGAUGACGGCCUUCGGGUUGUAAACUACUUUCGCUGGGGACGAAGCUUUUUGUGACGGUACCUAGAUAAGAAGCACCGGCUAACUACGUG
rnacentral:rRNA from 1 species